rnacentral:rRNA from 1 species
CGGAACGGGUGAGUAACACGUAGGGAACCUGCCCGCGCACCGGGAAUACGCUCUGGAAACGGAGAACAAAUCCCGAUGUACAGGAAGGAGGCAUCUUCUUUCUGUGAAACAUCCUUUAGGGGAUGGGGCGCGGAUGGACCUGCGGUGCAUUAGUUGGUUGGCGGGGUAAAGGCCCACCAAGACGAUGAUGCAUAGCCGGCCUGAGAGGGCGGACGGCCACAUUGGGACUGAGACACGGCCCAGACUCCUACGGAAGGCAGCAG